rnacentral:ncRNA from 1 species
GCCUAAAAGGUAGGAAGUAUUACCUACCUUUUGGGCUACAGGUAGCACAUGAAA